rnacentral:rRNA from 1 species
ACGUUCGACACCUACGGGAGGCAGCAGUUGGGAAUAUUGGACAAUGGAGGAAACUCUGAUCCAGUGACGCCGCGUGAAGGAAGAAGGUCUUCGGAUUGUAAACUUAUUUUGUCAGGGAAGAAAAAUGACUGUACCUGAAGAAAAAGCACCGGCUAACUACGUGCCCGCAGCCGCGGUAAUCUGAGCGGGCUGGCAAGGC